rnacentral:rRNA from 1 species
GAUGAACGCUGGCGGCGUGCUUAACACAUGCAAGUCGAACGUGAGAGGUAGCAAUAUCUUGAAAGUGGCGCACGGGUGAGUAACACGUAGGUAACCUGCCUCGGAGUGGGGGAUAACAGUUAGAAAUGACUGCUAAUACCGCAUGAAUCCAUUAAGAUGGGAAUGUUGAUGGAGAAAACUCUGGUGCUUCGAGAGGGGCCUGCGGUCGAUUAGCUAGUUGGUGGGUAACGGCCCACCAAGGCGACGAUCGAUAGCUGGUCUGAGAGGACGAUCAGCCACACGGGAACUGAGACACGGUCCCGACUCCUACGGGGGCAGCAGUGAGGAAUAUUGGGCAAUGGGCGGAAGCCUGACCCAGCAACGCCGCGUGGAGGAAUGAAGGCCUUCGGGUUGUAAACUCCUUUUGCAGGGGAAGAGGAAGGACGGUACCCUGCGAAUAAGUCACGGCUAACUACGUGCCAGCAGCCGCGGUAAU